GCUGACGUCACCGUGCGUCGGCAUGGGCCUGGCGUGGGCUGCGGACUUUGGAAGCGUUGACCCGGAGCCAGCCGGGGCGCAUCUCUUGUCCGCGCCGUUGCUCUCGGGUGUGUGGAGCCCUCCAGGCGACCGCGCCGUUUCCGUGUGUGCUGCGCCUGCUCUGAGAUUUAUAACCCUGAAGAGACUACUUUUUUCCUCUCAUUUUUUUCUGCUGCAGUAAUAAAUCCCAUUAUGGAGACCUAGAAACUUUAUAAAGGGAUAUAGUUUGAAUUCUGUGGAGUGUAAUUUUGUGUAUGAAUUAUAUUUUUAAAAUAUGAAGGGUUUUUAGAAAGAAGGCUAGUAGGGUUAAUUGCUGGUACAUUAUGCAUAACAGUAAUUUUGUUGGUAAUAUAAUAGUUUAUUAGGCAUUUGUGAUAACACUGGAAAGGACAAGCAGCAUCUUGAUAAAUUGAUUUAUCUUUAAAUACAAAAUGAAUGAUACUAUAGGUACAUCAUCCUUAAAUGAAAGACAGGUUAAUUUUUAAAUGCAGUGUAAAAAGUUUCUGCUGUGGGAGUUUUAAGGUUAACUAGUUAAGUCUAUGGAGAAAAUACCUUCAUCAACUGAUCAAGUAUAAUAAGGUGGUAUGCAAAGUUAGGAAGAAAGACAACAUAAUCAUGCUGCAGGAAAUGGAAACAUAUAGACAAUAAUUUAAAAAGAUGGAAAAAUUAGCAGUUUGUGAGUUUUAAGCAAAAUUUAUUUCAUUUGACAUUAGAUAUACUGUAACAGGCAUAGGUUAAAAAAGUUGUGGGUGUUGACUGUCCCCAAAAGCUGUUAGCUGAAACUAAUAUAAUCCACUUGAGUAAAUACUGUGAUGAUAAGCUGUGUGAAAUUAGUCUUUAGAUAAUGUGACUAUAUGAAGACUUUAAUUCUUGUUUACUAGACUGAAACUUUUUUUUUUGAUAAUCAUAUUAAAAUACUUAUAGGGAAAGAAGCCUGCUUAUAGUUUUUCCUCUUGUAGCAUAAUCAGUAAUUGGCUUGAUAUCUAGGGUUUGUAGCUUCUAACCAAAAGCACAUUAAAGGUAUAAUUUAGGUAUUCUAUAGUUGUUUAGAAUUUUGGGAAUAUAAACCUCCUUGAAAAGUCGAGUAGUUUUAACAUAUUUUCAGAAGUGUGUCAACUUCUUUCAGGCCAUUGGGUUAGUAUUACAUCAAAUAAUGAGCAAAUAACACUUGAGUUAUCUAAAAGAGUUAAUAUUAUAUAAUCCCGAAGAGUACUAAAAAGUAUCUUGGUAAUUUAUAGGAGAUAUUCAUUCUACCUGUGUGUAAAUUCAGGUGUAAAUCCAGUAAACAGUAAAGGUCUGGUGAAUUUGACAUAAGUAGGAGCCUAUCAUUUGAUUCUUUCUUAUAGUAAUUGAAUUUAGUGUGAAGAAAUAAGAGAUUGC
rnacentral:lncRNA from 1 species